rnacentral:ncRNA from 1 species
CCUUGACUGCAAUUAAGCAGACAUUAGCCAAGACAAGGAGAUUUAAAUG